UACAUAGGGGGCAAGCGUUGUCCGGAAUCAUUGGGCGUAAAGCGCGCGUAGGCGGCCCGAUAAGUCCGCUGUGAAAGUCCAGGGCUCAACCCUGGAAAGCCGGUGGAUACUGUCGGGCUAGCGUCCGGAAGAGGCGAGUGGAAUUCCUGGUGUAGCGGUGGAAUGCGCAGAUAUCUGGAGGAACACCGGUGGCGAAGGCGGAUCUCUGGGCCUGUUCUGACGCUGAGGCGCGAAAGCUAGGGGAGCGAACAGG
rnacentral:rRNA from 1 species